rnacentral:piRNA from 1 species
UGCCAACCUGGUCGAAACUGGAACGACUGCC